rnacentral:lncRNA from 1 species
AGCAGGAGCAGAAUGGCAAGGUCCCAGUCCAAGGUCCCUGAGAGGGCGGCAUGUGUGUCCCUUCAGUCAAGAGACCAGGGUUCCUUCCAGGGCAGCCGGGUCCUGCGAGAGCCAGAGCACAGGUCAAAACACCAGGAAUUUUUAGUGGAGAUGGGGUUUCACCGUGUUAGCCAGGAUGGUCUCGAUCUUCUGACCUUGUGAUCUGCCCUCCUCAACCUCCCAAAGUGCUGGGAUUACAGGCGUGAGCCACCGCGCCUGGCCUCAUUUCAUUUUCAAUGGAAAGAAUUGCUGAGUUUGAUGGUUUCUGUCAACCAAGCGAUUAGCUUAAAUAAUUUUUAUGUU